UACGUAGGGUGCGAGCGUUGUCCGGAAUUAUUGGGCGUAAAGGGCUCGUAGGCGGUCUGUUGCGUCGGGAGUGAAAACUUACAGCUUAACUGUGAGCGUGCUUCCGAUACGGGCAGACUAGAGGUAUGCAGGGGAGAACGGAAUUCCUGGUGUAGCGGUGAAAUGCGCAGAUAUCAGGAGGAACACCGGUGGCGAAGGCGGUUCUCUGGGCAUUACCUGACGCUGAGGAGCGAAAGUGUGGGGAGCGAACAGG
rnacentral:rRNA from 1 species